rnacentral:rRNA from 1 species
UACGGAGGGUGCGAGCGUUAAUCGGAAUUACUGGGCGUAAAGCGCAUGUAGGCGGUUUGAUCAGUCGGAUGUGAAAUCCCCGGGCUUAACUUGGGAACUGCAUUCGAUACUGUCAGGCUAGAGUAGGCUAGAGGAAAGGGGAAUUCCGCGUGUAGCAGUGAAAUGCGUAGAUAUGCGGAGGAACACCAAUGGCGAAGGCACCUUUCUGGGGUCAUACUGACGCUGAGAUGCGAAAGCGUGGGGAGCAAACAGGAUUAGAUACCCGCGUAGUCC